rnacentral:tRNA from 1 species
CUCCCCGUAGCUCAGCAGGAUAGAGCAGCAGAUUCCUAAUCUGCAGGUCACAGGUUCAAAUCCUGUCGGGGAGG